rnacentral:rRNA from 1 species
AACGAACGCUGGCGGCAGGCUUAACACAUGCAAGUCGAGCGCCCCGCAAGGGGAGCGGCAGACGGGUGAGUAACGCGUGGGAACGUACCCUUAUCUUCGGGAUAGCCUCGGGAAACUGGAAUUAAUACCGAAUGUGCCCUUUGGGGGAAAGAUUUAUCGGAUAAGGAUCGGCCCGCGUUGGAUUAGCUAGUUGGUGGGGUAAAGGCCUACCAAGGCGACGAUCCAUAGCUGGUCUGAGAGGAUGAUCAGCCACAUUGGGACUGAGACACGGCCCAAACUCCUACGGGAUGCAGCAGUGGGUAAUAUUGGACAAUGGGCGCAAGCCUGAUCCAGCCAUGCCGCGUGAGUGAUGAAGGCCUUAGGGUUGUAAAGCUCUUUCACCGGAGAAGAUAAUGACGGUAUCCGGAGAAGAAGCCCCGGCUAACUUCGUG